AUCACCAUUAUCAUAUACUAGUAGACUAAAACCCCAUGUGUUUGUUUUAUUUCUGUAGCUCUAGGAUCAUUGAAACUGUUUUGAACUUUUUUCGUGUGUUGCAACUUUUGCCUAUAAACCAGACUGUAAAAGAGAGGUUGAACAAUAGAAACGAGUGUUGUUUCGAUUGUAUGUCACCGGCUGCGAAAAACUAGUUACUCGCAUUCUAUCAUGUGCGGAGAGAAUACAUUUGAGCCCUUAGGUAUUAAAUCGAUAAACCGCCCUGUAACCGCCCGAUAAGAGCUAACCCCAGAAUACAUUUGAGCCCUAGGCAUUAAACCGAUAAACCACCCGGUAACCGCCCGAUAAGAGCUAACCCUAUACCAAUCCG
rnacentral:lncRNA from 1 species